GCAACUAAAGGGGUAACACCCCUUUUCCUUCCUUACACAUUCAAAGGGCCAAACAACCUUUAGGGGUUUUCUCUCUCUCAUAAGCAAUGGAAGCCCUAGCCACCCCUUAAGUGUUUUCUCUCUCUUAUGUUGUUUGCCCGAAAUGGCAAUGAUUGCGGGCCCUCAAAGCACCCUACGGACUAGGUGUGGUUGAAAAUGUUAAGAGCAUUUAUUUCUCUGUCAUUUUUCAACCAAUUCCACCUCAUAUCAACCCAAACGAGAGUAUCUGGGGUUGAGGAAGCAAAAUCUUCCAAGUUCAAACCUCGACAAGUGGCUGCACUCGCAAAAGGUGUUGUGCUUGAGAUGCCACAAUUUGAGUGAGCAAUUGAGUAACUCCCUUAAGGUCAUCAUUUGAAAUACUUAAUGGAGGUGAGGGAUGCAUUGGAGCUUUUGUGGGCUCCACCACUCUCAUGGGAUGUAGGACUGAAGAUGUCUGACUUGAUUGGUGACCCUGAUCCCUUAUUUGAACCCUCGUAGCAAUUAACACUUCAUUCGAUACUACUUUCGGAGCGACAUUUGUCCUUUGACUCAUUUGGUCUUGUGCUUUGGUUGCAUUUUUUGUGAACAAGAACAAUACACAAAUUAGUAACUAUUCUUAGAGUCUAGCUCUAUCCACAAUCUAGUGUAUUGAAGUUUAAAUGUUGUAUUGCCUCACUAUUAUAGAUAUGGCCGAUAACACACAAUAAAAAGAAUUCUACUAAAUAUAAUCUAUAGACUCCUAGAACAAAUGAAACCUACAACUCUGAUACCAAGUUUGUCACACUCCAAAAUUUUGGUGGGAUGGAGCCCACCCAGUGUCUUAAACUUGAUCAAGCGAACCAACUUUUAGAUACAUUAAUAAAUGUGGCGCAUGCAUAAUUGAGAAAAUGAAAGAUUUUCAUAAAGAACACUUUGCCUUUCAUAGUUUGUAAAAUUAUGAUUACAAAAAUAGUAUUCAUACAAGGCAUACGAGACUUCAAUAAAAUGACAAAAGAGACAUAACAUGAUUAACUAUGCCUAUGGAGCCUCUAUGACUUCAUGACUAAAAAGAAGUGUCAGUGACAAGAACUAUCUGCUGAUCCAAAAACUAUCUACUGAUUCCGUGAAUUGAUCGCUAAACAAAUAUAUGAAACCAAUUCAAUGAAAAACUAUGUUCUUAA